UGCGUAGGCGGGGCAAUUAGUCAGUGGUGAAAUCCUGCGGCUUAACCGUAGAAUUGCCAUUGAUACUGUUGUCCUUGAGUAUAGUUGAGGUGGGCGGAAUGUGUAAUGUAGCGGUGAAAUGCAUAGAGAUUACACAGAACACCAAUUGCGAAGGCAGCUCACUAAGCUAUAACUGACGCUGAGGCACGAAAGCGUGGGUAGCGAACAGGAUUAGAUACCCUGGUAGUCC
rnacentral:rRNA from 1 species